UCGAUUUCCAAGAGCCAUGCGGGCCACUGCGUGGAGCAUAUAUAUGUGUUUUUAUAGUAUCCCUGUCUUCAAGCGGCGUCCAGGCCAUCACUGCCGUGCGAGCUUUCGGACGGGGAGGUACAGUGUGGCGGUCACCCGACCAGACCUGUGUUGAAGACCUACUGAAAUGCAGUUCAUUCGCUUCCACCCUGGAAUCAAAGAGAAGGUCGCGACAGCGAACUGAGAAGGGCUGCAGAAGGCA